rnacentral:lncRNA from 1 species
CUGUAACCUGGUCAUAUGACUAUUGGGAACGAUGCUAUGAGCCAUGGUGUAUGUGUCACCCAGCCUCUGCCUUUUAAAUAAACCACACCUGACAACGCCAUGCCAUCCCGGGCCCCUUCAAGUUCCUGGAACCUCCCAGGAUGCUCCUGAAGCUGCUUAUUGUGCCUCUCCCACACUAGAAUGGAAACUCCAGGGGAGCAAAAGCCUUGCCCAUCGUGUUCACUGCUGUAUCCCAAGUACCUAGAACGAAG